ACCCUGCUGAUUGCUGGGAACCUCUGCUCCUCCUGUCUCCUGUUGUGGAGCUAAGGAUGUUGGCUCAGCGACGUGCGUGGGUGGCCACGCGUCCCUGUGUAUGUGUAGUUCGUAGAUGCGAGAGAAUGGAGUGCACUGGGCUAUUCAAGAACCUCCUUACUUACUAAAACCAGACGUCUCCAGAAGGGCCCUUGCUUGUGAGCCCGUCGUGGCAUCGCGGUCUCCUCAAGGAGCUAGAGUUCGAAGGAGCCGGAAUUCCAAAUUGAAAAAUCGCAGCGCUCCUGGGAUCGGAAUGAUGUCAUCGGCCUGAGGAACCCCGGGUGCGGGAAGAACCUCCCUGCGAAUGGAAGCUUCGCUGCUCCAGGCCUAAACAGUCUUGGAAUCCCUUCGAGCUGGAGCGCUCUAGAAAGAGAAGGCGGGGCCCGGUCACUGUUGCCAAAGUUGUACCACUAAGUCGAAAAUGUAAAAGCCUGCCCCAUCCCAACCGAUCUCUUCUUUGCUUUUCACUUGUUUGUGGGUUGGUUAUUUUGUUACAAAGUCCGGCUGUGCACCGUACCCGCAUGCUGGCCUCCAACUCAUGAUUCUCCAGUCUCAGCCUCCAGUGUGCUUUUCUGUUGGGCUUGCACCGCCAAAACCUGUGCCAUGUCUUGUCAUCUACUUUACCCCUUCUUUCCUCUCUCCCUAGCUGUCUUAUUUACACUUUCCUUUUCCCGUCUUCCAGUAGGUUCCAUCACUCCAGCACAUAUAGGAUGUGGUUGAUGAUAGAAUGGUUGAGCCUGGUGAGCUGGUUCAACUUGGAACAUCUAGAAACAAAUAGGUUUUUUCUUUUUCUAAGAGAAGUAAAAGCUACAUUUUAACGCACAGCUCACCAUCACCAAAAUAUUCAUUUCAUGUGUAACCUAAAUAAGCUUUUGAUCAUGUUCUUUUGUGACCAUCUCAUUUCUGGUCAUGUUCUUAAAAGAUUUGCCUCCUUCCUUCUAACACCCCUAAAGCUAUGACGAUGUUUGCAUUCCCUAAACCAUCUCCCUCUAGUUGAUGCGCUGAUUGCUCUUAGUUUUAUCAUUAAACUAUAUCCUCGGAAUCAUUCUUCCUUCAGUUGGGAAUGUCUUAACCAUAGCGUAAAUCAACAGUUUUACGUAAAUUACAGGUGAGCACCGACUUUCUGGGUUUGUCAUUCAGUCAUAAUCCUGAGCACCCCAGGAAAACCUUCAAGGAAUUGGGGAUGUCGAGUUUGUAGAGUGACUGUUUAGCAUAAAUGAAGCUCCAGGUUCAACAUUCGCCUGCUUCCCCCUCCCAGAUACUGAGUUUGCGGGUAGCUUCCACACCUACUUGAAUGUUACGGGUUUGUUUAUAUGGUAGCUGAAUUUAGAAAGCAAAGAAAACAUAAAUUUGGGAAGUAAUGGACUGCUAAAUAUAAUUUUUUGAAAGUUCAUUCUCUGUCCCAGUUGUUUCCAAAAUCCAUAGUCUGAAAUUUUGCAAAUUAUUUGGUUAUGUUUAUUAACAGUUGUUUUUAUUCUUAAAUCAGGAUCGUGGGAUCAAGAGCUAUCCCAUCUUUGAAAUCAUGACUUGUGUUUAUUUGUGGUACGAAUGUCUGUGAUCUUAAGGCUUAGGAGGCUGAGACACAAGGAUCAGACUCUGGCAAUUAUUGAGCUGUAGACACGGUCUCACUCACCCCAUCCCACCCCAUCCUCACAAAACUAAAAAAGGAAUUGACUCUUUGGCUGUUGGGAACUGAACCCUUGUGCACAGUGGGCAGGAGGGUCACCAACCUCUCUACCUGACUUCUUGCUCUUUGGUCUAUGCUCCACUCCUGGGCCACGCUGUUCUUCAUAAGAACAGUAUGUUUGCUUGAAAGGUGGGGUGGUCUUGCUCUAUGUAUCAUCACCUAACUGUAAAACCUGCUUCUUCCAGUCUCUAGGACUUUGCCUGUUUACUACUGCCCAUUUCCUGUGCUCACACCCACAAUCUUCUGCAGGGACUUCCUGGAGGAAGGUUUUCUUUAGACUGACCUGAUUGCCAAGAGGCGACCACAGUUCUCACCAAGCCUGCCUCCCAUUGGCUGUUGGCACUGAAGAGACUACAGGCCCGGGUAACUCCCCUAGCUCCUGCAGCUCUCUAGAAAGCAAGAGAGUUUUCUCUCCCACAGUUACUAUUGUAGCUUCCGGAUUUCAAGGACAUACAUGAAAAACUCAACUCCACAGAAAGGCUUGUUUAUCCUGUAAACAUGAUCAGUGGUAAGGCUAAUCAGGCAGCUGUGAUUCAGCAGAAUGUACUGAACUUGCAGCCAGACAACAUGUAUUUCAGAACUAGCUGCAGUGCCUGACUCCGUAAUAAGGACAACUCAUUUAACCUCAUUCAGAAUAAGCUGAAUUCCAAAAUUAAAUAAGAUGAUGCCUGUUAAUAUGCUUUGUAUAGCCAGGAGAGUAUGCAAAGGUGUUGAAUCCUGGAGCUACAGACACUUGUGAGCUGCCAUGAGGGUGCUGUGAAUUGAACCCGGGUCCUCUGGAAGAACAGCUGAGCCAUCGCUCCAGACCCCCAAGGUUAGUUCUUGAUCGUGUUAGUCCACUCAGGGUUCUUCUGCCUUCUGCCAGUCUCUGGGUGCCAUUAUCCUCAAGAAAGAUUUGCCCAGUGUUCUUUUUUUAAAAAAAUUGUUUAUUUUCUGUGCAUUUGUGUUCUGCCAUGGGUGUCAGGUCACCUGGAACUGAAAUUAUAGACAGUUGUGAGCUGCCACGUGGGUGCUGGGAAUUGAACCUGGGUCCUCUAGAAGAACAUUCAGUCCUCUUAACCACUGAGCCAUCUCUCCAGCCCCUUGCCCAGUGUUCUUAAAGACCAAAUAGGGAUAUUUCUUUGCCACCAAUGGCAUUCCCCACCUUUAUCCACAUCCACAUUCACCCUCUGUGUGUGCUCGUGUGUGUAUUGUGUGUGUGAGUGUGUGUGUGUGUGUGUGUGUGUGUGUGUGUGUGUUAGGAGGAGAUCAUACGACAACUUUGUAAAGUCAGCUAUCUCCUUUUCGUAUUAUGUGGGUUCUGGGAAUUGAACUCAGGUCAUCAGCCCUGGAUAGUAAUUAGUCAAACUGAGCCAUCGUGCUGGCUCUUGUAGCCUGUUUCUGCCCCAUCUCCAAUUCCUGAGUCAAGUCCUCUGGCUUUUCAAAAAAAAAAAAACAAAAAACAACAACUAAACCCUUAUCAGUAGCCUUUCAAUAAAUGUAUGAAUUGCUUCUAAAUGCCAAAGUCCUCUCAUGGUACAAUGAAGACUCCUGACUAACUUGUGUCUGCUAGAACUUGCAGUGAGUGGUGGUGGCGGUUACCUUAUGUUCACACUCUCCUUCCCAUGGCUUGCCACUUGGACCUGCUUCACCUCGCCACUAGAACUUGGCUCCUCUCUACCAGACUCUCCCUGGGGGCGACUGUAGCCUCCCCCCUUCCUCCCUGCAGCUCACUGCCUUCCUCUGACCCCAAUGUGGGCACAUGCACUCAUGCCUUUAGGCCAUCCUGACAUCCCAGCGUGGUGCGGCAGGAGAGACUCUCUCCAGGGUCACUAAGAGGCAAGGGGCACAGAGAGGCAGGAAGGAAGUAGAAACUUCUUAUUUUCACAUUUUAAUGACAUAAGUUCAUUUACUUAGUUCCUGCAUUGUGUCGGCCUUGUCCAGGCACACGACCCAUGGCAAUGUUUUGGGGUAGAGCUGGAGAGAUGACUCAUGGGUUAAAAGUACCAGACACUCUGCCAGAGGACCUGGGUUCAGUUUCCAGCACCCACGCCAGUCGACUCACUUCUGUGACAUUAAAGAGGGGAUCCAUCACCCUCUUCUGGCCUCCUGGAGCACCCACUCAUACAUGAAGUGAAAAUAAAAAAAAUUUCAAUACUUUAAAAUGUAGAUAAUAAUUUCUGCAUUUUUUUGAUGAAGAAAUGAGGGUUUAAAGAAGUGAAGAAGGACAAAAUUGAUGCCUGGAACCUCCCUGAAAGUAAUUGGCUGGGGGCAGAAAAUGCCUCAGCAGGUCAAAGAGCUUUACAAGAUUAAGAACUCAAGUAGAAGGGAAUCAAUUCCCCAAGGUUGCUCUCUGUUUUCCACACUCCUAAUGUAUACUAUACCUGUGCCUACACGCGUGCACACAUACACACACACACUAUGGAUGGAUGGACAGGUGUGUAUAUAUUAUAUAUAAUAUAUAUUAUGAAUAUAUGAAUACACACUAUAAUAAUUUUAAAUAUUUUUAAAAUAAUACAUGAGUAGAAGGAAGGCAAGCAGAGUAGAGAUGAAGCAAAACUAGCCAUGGGUUGAUAAUCUUCCCAGACACAUAAUGGACAUAUGGAAGGUCAUUAUGCUAUAUCAAAUUUCAUGUCUACAUUGCGACUUUUCAAUUAUUAAAAAUAUUUUCAGGACUGGGGAUGUAGCUCAAUAGUAGAAUGAUGCUUGCCUACUACACCUGAGAUCAUGGGUUAAAUUCCCAGGACCAGGAAAACAAAAUUAAUUAACAAACAAAACUAAACUUUAUAAAGUCAAAUGAAUAAUAAGUCAUAUGAGGGCUUCAUCUCAGGCUCCCAGCUUUAGUGUCUGCUCUCUCAACUUCUACAUGGGGUUUCUGGCAAGGUCCCUAAAAAGACCUAAGUAGAACUCAUAAGUGAUAUUCAGAGGACUCAACAGAGAUUAAAAACCUGUUAAGUAAUCUCUGUUCUUCUUUUCCACAUCAACACAGGAAAUACCCACAGUAGGUAGGGGCUGGAGAGACAGAUGAUGGCUCGGCAGUUAAAAGUCCCAACUGCUCUAGCACAGAACCUCGGUUUUGUUCCUAGCACCCACAUCCCAGAGCUCACCAUCACCAGUAACUCCAACUCCAAGGGAUCUGAUAUAUCUUCUGGUCCCCCGGAUCCCUGCAUUCACAUGUGCAUGUACCCACACACAGACACACAAACGUAAACAAACAAACAAAAAACCCAGCAGCAGC